rnacentral:rRNA from 1 species
AGCGAACGCUGGCGGCAGGCUUAACACAUGCAAGUCGAACGCCCCGCAAGGGGAGUGGCAGACGGGUGAGUAACACGUGGGAACGUACCCUUUGGUUCGGAAUAACUUGGGGAAACUCAAGCUAAUACCGGAUAAGCCCUUAUGGGGAAAGGUUUACUGCCGAAGGAUCGGCCCGCGUCUGAUUAGCUAGUUGGUGCGGUAAUGGCUCACCAAGGCGACGAUCAGUAGCUGGUCUGAGAGGAUGAUCAGCCACACUGGGACUGAGACACGGCCCAGACUCCUACGGGAGGCAGCAGUGGGGAAUAUUGGACAAUGGGGGCAACCCUGAUCCAGCCAUGCCGCGUGAGUGAUGAAGGCCUUAGGGUUGUAAAGCUCUUUUACCCGGGACGAUAACGACUGUACCGGGAGAAUAAGCCCCGGCUAACUUCGUGCCAGCAGCCGCGGUAA